GAUGAACGCUAGCGGCAGGCCUAAUACAUGCAAGUCGGACGGGAUCCAUCGGAGAGCUUGCUCGAAGAUGGUGAGAGUGGCGCACGGGUGCGUAACGCGUGAGCAACCUACCUCUAUCAGGGGGAUAGCCUCUCGAAAGAGAGAUUAACACCGCAUAACAUCAACAGUUCGCAUGUCCGGUUGAUUAAAUAUUUAUAGGAUAGAGAUGGGCUCGCGUGACAUUAGCUAGUUGGUAGGGUAACGGCCUACCAAGGCGACGAUGUCUAGGGGCUCUGAGAGGAGAAUCCCCCACACUGGUACUGAGACACGGACCAGACUCCUACGGGAGGCAGCAGUAGGGAAUAUUGGUCAAUGGGCGGAAGCCUGAACCAGCCAUGCCGCGUGCAGGACGACUGCCCUAUGGGUUGUAAACUGCUUUUGUCCAGGAAUAAACCUCUUUACGUGUAGAGAGCUGAAUGUACUGGAAGAAUAAGGAUCGGCUAACUCCGUGCCAGCCGCCGCGGUAAAAC
rnacentral:rRNA from 1 species